GAUGAACGCUAGCGGCAGGCCUAAUACAUGCAAGUCGAACGGUGUCUUCGGACAUAGUGGCGCACGGGUGCGUAACACGUAUGCAACCUACCUUACAUUGGGGGAUAGCCUUUCGAAAGGGAGAUUAAUACCGCAUAAGACAGUAGCUGGGCAUCCAGCAGCUGUUAAAGAUUUAUCGAUGUAAGCUGGGCAUGCGUCCAAUUAGCUAGUUGGUGAGGUAACGGCUCACCAAGGCAAUGAUUGGUAGGGGAACUGAGAGGUCAAUCCCCCACACUGGAACUUAGAUACGGGCCAGACUCCUACGGGAGGCAGCAGUAGGGAAUAUUGGGCAAUGGACGCAAGUCUGACCCAGCCAUGCCGCGUGCAGGAUGAAGGCGUUAUGCGUUGUAAACUGCUUUUAUACAGGAAGAAACGACUCUUGCGAGAGGCAUUGACGGUACUGUAUGAAUAAGCACCGGCUAACUCCGUGCCAGCAGCCGCCGUAAAAC
rnacentral:rRNA from 1 species